AGAAAAAGGAAAGUGAAAAAGAGCAACCUCUGCACAAAAACAAAGAAAGAAAGAAAACAGAAAACAAAAAAAACAAAGGAGAGAUCCAGGCUUUCCUGUGCUUAGAUCAUCACUGAAAGGCUCCUGGUGUCAGCUGCUGCUGACGCUAAUUGAACCCUGUUGGUGAGGUAAGGAUGGAAGGACGCUGCAAAAGAAAAGAUGAAAAAACACUGGUGAGGCCUGAGUGCUUCCUGAAGGUUUUCGACCCCUGCCUGUCGACCUCCCUCAGUCGUGGCAUGGUCUGCUAGGGCAUUCUUUGUCUGAUCUGCUGGUAUUGUCACUACACAGAACACUUUAAAAUAUAGAUUCCCAUGCUUCUUGUUUUGGGAUUUCUAUUAGUCCCUACAUAUGUGUAUUAAAUACCUACCUAGUCUAAAUUUCAGAAAGCAAAUUACAGUGCCAUGGAGAAUGGAAAAUGUUUAGUUGAUAAUUUAUUAAAUAAAGUAAUAUUUCCCUCACUACUGGGUACAUAGCACAGGCAAUUGCUUUAAGACCACAUGGGAAGUCAGGCUUCCCCUAAAAUGUCUUUAAAUGUGGCAAUGAAAUGUUUCUAUAUUAAUUAGAGAAAUAUGUCUAUAUCAUUCAUUACUCUUGGUGGAAUUUAAUAUUUUAGUGAAUCAAAUUAUGAAAUUUGAUUCUUACUGGGACCCAUUGUCUGUCCCAGUAGUCAUUGUACUGUCUUGUACUGUCUUGUGCUGUCUGCACAUGUUUACACUUGUGCACUUUAUGUAUAAAUUAUGUAGUCUCUUGUGGUUCUGUGUUGUUCUGUGUCAUCUUAUGUAGCACCUUGG